GACGAACGCUGGCGGCGUGCUUAACACAUGCAAGUCGAACGGAAAGGCCCUGCUUUUGUGGGGUGCUCGAGUGGCGAACGGGUGAGUAACACGUGAGUAACCUGCCCUUGACUUUGGGAUAACUUCAGGAAACUGGGGCUAAUACCGGAUAGGAGCUCCUGCUGCAUGGUGGGGGUUGGAAAGUUUCGGCGGUUGGGGAUGGACUCGCGGCUUAUCAGCUUGUUGGUGGGGUAGUGGCUUACCAAGGCUUUGACGGGUAGCCGGCCUGAGAGGGUGACCGGCCACAUUGGGACUGAGAUACGGCCCAGACUCCUACGGGAGGCAGCAGUGGGGAAUAUUGCACAAUGGGCGGAAGCCUGAUGCAGCAACGCCGCGUGCGGGAUCACGGCCUUCGGGUUGUAAACCGCUUUCGCCUGCGACGAAGCGUGAGUGACGGUAAUGGGUAAAGAAGCACCGGCUAACUACGUG
rnacentral:rRNA from 1 species